rnacentral:rRNA from 1 species
AGAGUUUGAUCAUGGCUCAGGACGAACGCUGGCGGCGUGCUUAACACAUGCAAGUCGAACGGAAAGGUCUCUUCGGAGAUACUCGAGUGGCGAACGGGUGAGUAACACGUGGGUGAUCUGCCCUGCACUUCGGGAUAAGCUUGGGAAACUGGGUCUAAUACCGGAUAGGACUACGGCCUGCAUGGGUUGUGGUGGAAAGCUUUUGCGGUGUGGGAUGGGCCCGCGGCCUAUCGGCUUGUUGGUGGGGUGAUGGCCUACCAAGGCGACGACGGGUAGCCGGCCUGAGAGGGUGUCCGGCCACACUGGGACUGAGAUACGGCCCAGACUCCUACGGGAGGCAGCAGUGGGGAAUAUUGCACAAUGGGCGCAAGCCUGAUGCAGCGACGCCGCGUGGGGGAUGACGGCCUUCGGGUUGUAAACCUCUUUCACCAUCGGCGAAGCCGGGAGCUUUUGUUUCUGGUGACGGUAGGUGGAGAAGAAGCACCGGCCAACUACGUGCCAGCAGCCGCGGUAAUACGUAGGGUGCGAGCGUUGUCCGGAAUUACUGGGCGUAAAGAGCUCGUAGGUGGUUUGUCGCGUUGUCCGUGAAAUUCCCUGGCUUAACUGGGGGGCGUGCGGGCGAUACGGGCAGACUGGAGUACUGCAGGGGAGACUGGAAUUCCUGGUGUAGCGGUGGAAUGCGCAGAUAUCAGGAGGAACACCGGUGGCGAAGGCGGGUCUCUGGGCAGUAACUGACGCUGAGGAGCGAAAGCGUGGGGAGCGAACAGGAUUAGAUACCCUAGUAGUCC